AACGAACGCUGGCGGUAUGCUUAACACAUGCAAGUCGAACGAAUGAGCCUAGCUUGCUAGGUGAGUUAGUGGCAAACGGGUGAGUAACGCGUGGGAAUCUACCCAGUAGUACGGGAUAACAGUUGGAAACGAUUGCUAAUACCGUAUGGUAUCGAGAGAUUAAAGAUUUAUCGCUACUGGAUGAGCCCGCGUCAGAUUAGGUAGUUGGUGGGGUAAUGGCCUACCAAGCCCGAGAUCUGUAACUGGUCUGAGAGGAUGAUCAGUCACACUGGAACUGAGACACGGUCCAGACUCCUACGGGAGGCAGCAGUGAGGAAUAUUGGACAAUGGGCGAAAGCCUGAUCCAGCAAUACCGCGUGAGUGAAGAAGGCCUUAGGGUUGUAAAGCUCUUUCAGCAGGGAAAAAAAUGAUGGUACCUGCAGAAGAAGUCCCGGCUAACUCCGUG
rnacentral:rRNA from 1 species